AGAGUUUGAUCCUGGCUCAGGAUGAACGCUGGCGGCGUGCUUAACACAUGCAAGUCGAACGGAGAAUUGAAGCUUGCUUCAAUUCUUAGUGGCGGACGGGUGAGUAACGCGUGGGUAACCUGCCCCUAAGUGGGGGACAACAGUUGGAAACGACUGCUAAUACCGCAUAAAGUUAAGAGUUCGCAUGGACUUUUAACCAAAGGAGUAAUCCGCUUUUGGAUGGACCCGCGUCUGAUUAGCUAGUUGGUGGGGUAACGGACCACCAAGGCGACGAUCGGUAGCCGAACUGAGAGAUUGAUCGGCCACAUUGGGACUGAGACACGGCCCAGACUCCUACGGGAGGCAGCAGUGGGGAAUAUUGCGCAAUGGGGGAAACCCUGACGCAGCAACGCCGCGUGAAGGAUGAAGGUUUUCGGAUCGUAAACUUCUUUGAUUGGGGACGAAUAAUGACGGUACCCAAAAAACAAGCCACGGCUAACUACGUGCCAGCAGCCGCGGUAAUACGUAGGUGGCGAGCGUUGUCCGGAAUUACUGGGUGUAAAGGGCGUGUAGGCGGGGACUUAAGUCAGAUGUGAAAUAUCCAGGCUCAACUUGGGAACUGCAUCUGAAACUAAGUUUCUUGAGUGUCGGAGAGGAAAGUGGAAUUCCCAGUGUAGCGGUGAAAUGCGUAGAUAUUGGGAGGAACACCAGUGGCGAAGGCGACUUUCUGGACGAUAACUGACGCUGAGGCGCGAAAGCGUGGGGAGCAAACAGGAUUAGAUACCCUGGUAGUCCACGCUGUAAACGAUGGAUACUAGGUG
rnacentral:rRNA from 1 species